GGCGAACGCUGGCGGCGUGCUUAACACAUGCAAGUCGAACGGAAAGGCCCUGCUUGCAGGGUACUCGAGUGGCGAACGGGUGAGUAACACGUGGGUGAUCUGCCCUGCACUUCGGGAUAAGCCUGGGAAACUGGGUCUAAUACCGGAUAUGACCUUCCAUGUAGUGUGGGGGGUGGAAAGAUUUAUCGGUGUGGGAUGAGCCCGCGGCCUAUCAGCUUGUUGGUGGGGUAAUGGCCUACCAAGGCGUCGACGGGUAGCCGGCCUGAGAGGGUGGACGGCCACAUUGGGACUGAGAUACGGCCCAGACUCCUACGGGAGGCAGCAGUGGGGAAUAUUGCACAAUGGGCGGAAGCCUUAUGCAGCGACGCCGCGUGGGGGAUGACGGCCUUCGGGUUGUAAACCUCUUUCGACAGGGACGAAGCUUCGGUGACGGUACCUGUAUAAGAAGCACCGGCUAACUACGUG
rnacentral:rRNA from 1 species